rnacentral:tRNA from 1 species
AGGAAUGUAGCGCAGCCCGGAAGUGUAUCCUGACGCUUCGGUCAGGAUGGUCGCAGGUUCGAAUCCUGUCAUCCCGACCA